rnacentral:misc_RNA from 1 species
AGUCGUAACAAGGUUUCCGUAGGUGAACCUGCGGAAGGAUCAUUACCGAGUGAGGGCCCUCUGGGUCCAACCUCCCACCCGUGUUUAUUUUACCUUGUUGCUUCGGCGGGCCCGCCUUAACUGGCCGCCGGGGGGCUCACGCCCCCGGGCCCGCGCCCGCCGAAGACACCCUCGAACUCUGUCUGAAGAUUGAAGUCUGAGUGAAAAUAUAAAUUAUUUAAAACUUUCAACAACGGAUCUCUUGGUUCCGGCAUCGAUGAAGAACGCAGCGAAAUGCGAUACGUAAUGUGAAUUGCAAAUUCAGUGAAUCAUCGAGUCUUUGAACGCACAUUGCGCCCCCUGGUAUUCCGGGGGGCAUGCCUGUCCGAGCGUCAUUGCUGCCCUCAAGCCCGGCUUGUGUGUUGGGCCCCGUCCUCCGAUCUCCGGGGGACGGGCCCGAAAGGCAGCGGCGGCACCGCGUCCGGUCCUCGAGCGUAUGGGGCUUUGUCACCCGCUCUGUAGGCCCGGCCGGCGCUUGCCGAUCAACCCAAAUUUUUAUCCAGGUUGACCUCGGAUCAGGUAGGGAUACCCGCUGAACUUAAGCAUAUCAAUAAGCGGAGGA